GGGUUGUGAGGUUAAGCGACUAAGCGUACACGGUGGAUGCCCUGGCAGUCAGAGGCGAUGAAGGGCGUGCUAAUCUGCGAUAAGCGCCGGUAAGGUGAUAUGAACCGUUAUAACCGGCGAUACCCGAAUGGGGAAACCCAGUGUGACUCGUCACACUAUCAUUAACUGAAUCCAUAGGUUAAUGAGGCGAACCGGGGGAACUGAAACAUCUAAGUACCCCGAGGAAAAGAAAUCAACCGAGAUUCCCCCAGUAGCGGCGAGCGAACGGGGAGGAGCCCAGAGCCUGAAUCAGCAUGUGUGUUAGUGGAAGCGUCUGGAAAGGCGCGCGAUACAGGGUGACAGCCCCGUACACAAAAGCGCAUGUGCUGUGAGCUCGAUGAGUAGGGCGGGACACGUGGUAUCCUGUCUGAAUAUGGGGGGACCAUCCUCCAAGGCUAAAUACUCCUGACUGACCGAUAGUGAACCAGUACCGUGAGGGAAAGGCGAAAAGAACCCCGGCGAGGGGAGUGAAAAAGAACCUGAAACCGUGUACGUACAAGCAGUGGGAGCACCCUUUGGGGUGUGACUGCGUACCUUUUGUAUAAUGGGUCAGCGACUUAUAUUCUGUAGCAAGGUUAACCGAAUAGGGGAGCCGCAGGGAAACCGAGUCUUAAUUGGGCGUUAAGUUGCAGGGUAUAGACCCGAAACCCGGUGAUCUAGCCAUGGGCAGGUUGAAGGUUGGGUAACACUAACUGGAGGACCGAACCGACUAAUGUUGAAAAAUUAGCGGAUGACCUGUGGCUGGGGGUGAAAGGCCAAUCAAACCGGGAGAUAGCUGGUUCUCCCCGAAAGCUAUUUAGGUAGCGCCUCGUGAAUUCAUCUCCGGGGGUAGAGCACUGUUUCGGCUAGGGGGCCAUCCCGGCUUACCAACCCGAUGCAAACUGCGAAUACCGGAGAAUGUUAUCACGGGAGACACACGGCGGGUGCUAACGUCCGUCGUGAAGAGGGAAACAACCCAGACCGCCAGCUAAGGUCCCAAAGUCAUGGUUAAGUGGGAAACGAUGUGGGAAGGCCCAGACAGCCAGGAUGUUGGCUUAGAAGCAGCCAUCAUUUAAAGAAAGCGUAAUAGCUCACUGGUCGAGUCGGCCUGCGCGGAAGAUGUAACGGGGCUAAACCAUGCACCGAAGCUGCGGCAGCGACGCUGAUGCGUUGUUGGGUAGGGGAGCGUUCUGUAAGCCUGCGAAGGUGGCCUGUGAGGGUUGCUGGAGGUAUCAGAAGUGCGAAUGCUGACAUAAGUAACGAUAAAGCGGGUGAAAAGCCCGCUCGCCGGAAGACCAAGGGUUCCUGUCCAACGUUAAUCGGGGCAGG
rnacentral:rRNA from 1 species